UUCACCAGUGGGUGUCAGUUUAUAUUUCCUUUGUAUUUAAAUAUUUUUAUGAAUAAUAUAUUCAAAACAUAGGCCAAUGUUACAUAUAAUUUAUCCUAUUUAUACAAUAUUUUCUGAUAACUUUAUAUUACAGCCACUGAUUGUGGUUCUGAUGCUCGGCUGUAACAAAAUACCAGAGACAAUAGGCUUUGAUUUCUCAAAAAAUAAUAGUGAAUUUGAGUUUUAUAGCCACAUCUCUUUACAGCGCAAUAUAAGCAAAUUAUAGAUAAUUAAAAUCGCUGGAAGCCAAAAAAGCCAGGUCCGAAAUGACCCAAGACUGCAAAACUACAAAAUGGUGAAGGAACAAAUCACAGCAAAUGCAAACAGCUCCAAAAACUACCAAAACACUGCCGUUAUAAAGAAAACCCACUCAACGAUAAAUUCGAUAUUAAGUCAGCGAUAAAUUCCAGAUUUGUGACAGAACAUUUUAAUUAAAGGAGGGAGUCACUUAAAACUUUUAACAGUGAUUAAACUGUUAAACCGACUAUUUCCUGUUUAAUCGUUUUAAUUUAGCAAACAACUGUUUGAUUUUAACAAAGGUUACGGGUUUUUCUUUCUGUAGGAGAAUCAAGGUAAUAAAUUCUGCAGCUUAAAAGGAGUCACCUUAGGUCAGCUGGUGGUCCUUCAGUGUGUCCUAGAACAAACUGCAUCGUGGCUGCAGAACUAAUGCAGAUAAAAGUGCUGCAGAGCACCACUGAAAGAGUUUGAAACAAGCUGUACUCAAUGCUUCUUGAGUGCACUCUUAACAGUAUUUAGUGCUGCUCUGCCAUGAUCACGCAGGACAGCUGUUAGUACCAGGUGUGAGUGAAGUUUAUGAGUGAAAGAGGGCAGUCAUAUUAAACCCUUGCCGUUCUGCUUUGAUUCAACAAGUCAACUGGAUUGGCAAGAAUUCAGGUGCAGACCUAAAGGUGGUACACUGAGUUACCUCCACAUCGUCGCGUACAACAAGACGUUCUAAUCACAUUCAUUCAGGAAGCCAGAGACAACAAGAGUUUCAGGAGAUACCAGAAAAGCUGAACGGAGUAAAACAGAGCUGCUCUCUUCUAUCCUUUCCAGCUUCCAACCUCUGUCCAACAUGGAAAAUGCUAGAUUUGCAAAAAAUGCCAGCCAUCUGGAAAUCUCUUAUUCAAGGUAAGGAUCUACAUUCUCCAGGCAAUACACAGAGACUGCCCUUAUGUUGUAUAAUGCUAGUGGUACUAAUUUCUCAUAUUAGAUGUUAAAGACAUUUUAAAUCAUCACCUAUAAGUCAUUGUUUUUGUUUUAUAAAUAGUAAAUCUCUGUUUUACAGGGACUCCUCUCACACACAGUGUGAUGUUGCCUCAGCUUCUGAUAUAGAAAAUUACUGACUGCUUAUGGCAGGCUAGAAAAACUUUCUUUAAAGCUCUUUUUAGCUCUGAUUCUACUGAAAGCAGCGUACAUAACCAUAUAGGCAAUGAUACAUAGCCAAAGCAUAGCCCAAAGUAUUUCCCCAGUUUUAGUCGCUAUGACAUCGCAGCACAACACUUGCUACUGUAAAUCAUCAUUCAUGGUCAACAUCCUACUGCAUGGUCAUGACAGUGGAAAACAAACGCAAAAGUUUAAAUAAGUGCACAUGCUUUCAUUUCAUUUCCAUUAAGAGGUUUUGAACACACGCAGUGAUUACUUCCUGGCUAUACUGGUG